GAAGGCAGUCUUCAAAACCUUGUACAGUUAAGCAGGAUUUGCUAAGCUGCUGUUACUGAAACGAGGGGUUGUUCCGACCGUAAGGUCAUCACAACCGCAUGCUGUUUUAUCUAGCAGCCAUGCACUUCAAUGAGAAUGCUGAGUCCCCACAACAGAAGACAGCCAAGGAGAAACUAUGUACAGACUUGCCAAACAAUUUCGGAUUCCUGUGCCCCAGGACUUGUGUGCUCAGCUUGACAGACCUUCCAUGGAGGAUGCUGUUGCUGAAUAUGUGUCACGGUUCAGUCGAAAAGGGGUCUGAAUCCAACGUACUGCCCUGAAGUAUCCAGAAGCUCCCUCCAUA